GGUAGCACAGGGGAGCUUGCUCCCCGGGUGACGAGUGGCGGACGGGUGAGUAAUGUCUGGGGAUCUGCCCGAUGGAGGGGGAUAACUACUGGAAACGGUAGCUAAUACCGCAUAACCUCGAAAGAGCAAAGUGGGGGACCUUCGGGCCUCACACCAUCGGAUGAACCCAGAUGGGAUUAGCUAGUAGGUGGGGUAACGGCUCACCUAGGCGACGAUCCCUAGCUGGUCUGAGAGGAUGACCAGCCACACUGGAACUGAGACACGGUCCAGACUCCUACGGGAGGCAGCAGUGGGGAAUAUUGCACAAUGGGCGCAAGCCUGAUGCAGCCAUGCCGCGUGUAUGAAGAAGGCCUUCGGGUUGUAAAGUACUUUCAGCGGGGAGGAAGGGAUGAAGGUUAAUAACCUUCGUCAUUGACGUUACCCGCAGAAGAAGCACCGGCUAACUCCGUGCCAGCAGCCGCGGUAAUACGGAGGGUGCAAGCGUUAAUCGGAAUUACUGGGCGUAAAGCGCACGCAGGCGGUUUGUUAAGUCAGAUGUGAAAUCCCCGGGCUCAACCUGGGAACUGCAUUUGAAACUGGCAAGCUUGAGUCUCGUAGAGGGGGGUAGAAUUCCAGGUGUAGCGGUGAAAUGCGUAGAGAUCUGGAGGAAUACCGGUGGCGAAGGCGGCCCCCUGGACGAAGACUGACGCUCAGGUGCGAAA
rnacentral:rRNA from 1 species